UAGUGAAGCAGCAACAGGACUAUCAGACAUGCAUUCAUUAUUCUGGCUUUUCUUAUAUAAAAUAUGCAGAUUAACUAGUUGCUGAUGAUUUAUGCAAAGGUUUGACAUUCUGAUUAAACAACUUGGUUUAGGUAGUUUCAGACAAUUCAAGAACAAUAUAUGGGUUAAUAACUUUAGUUUAGUUACGAGGAGUAAAAUAAACAGUUUGAGG